UAGUCCACGCCGUAAACGAUGGAUACUAGGUGUCCGGGAUAUUAACCUCCUGGGUACUACAGUUAACGCGUUAAGUAUCCCGCCUGGGGAGUACGGUCGCAAGGCUAAAACUCAAAGGAAUUGACGGGGGCCCGCACAAGCGGUGGAGUAUGUGGUUUAAUUCGAAGCAACGCGCAGAACCUUACCUACCCUUAACAUUUCACGACGUAUACAGAGAUGUAUAUUUCUCUUCGGAGACGUGAGGAUAGGUGCUGCAUGGCUGUCGUCAGCUCGUGUCGUAAGAUGUCUGGUUAAGUCCUGCAACGAGCGCAACCCCUAUUUCAGUUGCCAGCAUGUAAUGAUGGGGACUCUGGAAAGACUGCCUCCGCAAGGAGUGAGGAAGGCGGGGACGACGUCAAAUCAUCAUGGCCUUUAUGCCCAGGGCUACACACGUGCUACAAUGGUAGGUACAGAGGGUAGCGAAGCCGCGAGGUGGAGCCAAUCUCAUAAAGCCUAUCCCAGUUCGGA
rnacentral:rRNA from 1 species